rnacentral:rRNA from 1 species
AUUGAACGCUGGCGGCAGGCCUCACACAUGCAAGUCGAACGAGUGGCGGACGGGUGAGUAAUGUCUGGGAAACUGACUGAUGGAGGGGGCUAACUACUGGACACGGUCGCUAAUACCGCAUACCAUCAGAUGUGCCCAGAUGGGAUUGGCUAGUUGGUGGGGUAACUGCUCACCAAGGCGACGAUCCCUAGCUGGUCUGAGAGGAGGACCAGCCACACUGGAACUGAGCCACGGGCCAGACUCCUACGCGAGGCAGCAGUGGGGAAUAUUGAACAAUGGGCGCAAGCCUGAUGCAGCCAUGCCGCGUGUAUGAAGAAGGCCUUCGGGUUGUAAAGUACUUUCAGCGGGGAGGCGUUACUCGCAGAAGAAGCACCGGCUAACUCCGUGCCAGCAGCCGCGGUAAUAC